UACGUAGGGUGCAAGCGUUAAUCGGAAUUACUGGGCGUAAAGCGUGCGCAGGCGGUUUUGUAAGUCUGAUGUGAAAUCCCCGGGCUUAACCUGGGAACUGCGUUUGAAACUACAAGGCUAGAGUGUGGCAGAGGGGGUUGGAAUUCCACGUGUAGCAGUGAAAUGCGUAGAGAUGUGGAGGAACACCGAUGGCGAAGGCAGCCCCCUGGGUUAACACUGACGCUCAGGCACGAAAGCGUGGGGAGCAAACAGG
rnacentral:rRNA from 1 species